rnacentral:rRNA from 1 species
UACGAGGGGGGCGAGCGUUGUUCGGAAUUAUUGGGCGUAAAGGGUGCGUAGGCGGUUCCGCAAGUCCUGUGUGAAAUCUUCGGGCUCAACUCGAAGUCUGCACGGGAAACUGCGGGGCUUGAGUGUGGGAGAGGUGAGUGGAAUUCCCGGUGUAGCGGUGAAAUGCGCAGAUAUCGGGAGGAACACCGGUGGCGAAGGCGGGUCUCUGGGCCGAUACUGACGCUGAGGAGCGAAAGCGUGGGGAGCGAACAGG